UUUAAGGUCUAAUCUGCCCUAUGAGGUUUUAAAUGGCCGCGGUAUUUUGACCGUGCAAAGGUAGCAUAAUAAUUAGUUUUUUAAUUGAAAGCUGGAAUGAAUGAUUGGACGAGAAAAUAGCUGUCUCUAAUUAAAUUAUUUAGAAUUUUAUUUUUAAGUAAAAAAGCUUAAAUGUAUUUAAAAGACGAGAAGACCCUAUAGAGUUUUAUAUACUUAUUUAUAUUUAAAUUUAUAGAAUUUUAUGUUUGUUAUAUUUAAUUAUAUUUUGUUGGGGUGAUAGAAAAAUUAAAUUAACUUUUUUUUAUAUUGAAACAUUUAUUUAUGAUUAAUUGAUCCAUUUUUUAUGAUUAAAAGAUUAAAUUACCUUAGGGAUAACAGCGUAAUUUUUUUUUAGAGUUCUUAUCGAAAAAAGAGAUUGCGACCUCGAUGUUGGAUUAAAAUAAAUGUUUGGUGUAGGAGCUAAAUAAUUAGGUCUGUUCGACCUUUAAAAUUUUACAUGAUCUGAGUUUAAACCGGCGUGAGCCAGGUUGGUUUCUAUCUUUAAAUAAUUAAAAUAUUUUAGUACGAAAGGACCAAAUAUUUGGCAAAUUAUUUUUUAAUUGAAUAUAAUUA
rnacentral:rRNA from 1 species